rnacentral:misc_RNA from 1 species
AAAUCUCUCAAGCUUAGGUUUUUACCUAUUGCUUGGUCUUGGAGAUGGAAGCCAAUUCAUUGGAAUCCUCUUCGAAAUUCAAUGGCGAAGACCCUUGCUCUCCCAAGUGUAGUAAUAACUUAUAUCACUGAAGGAAGCGAGAAAUCUUCCGCCGAAACCCCCAUAUUUUUCUAU